AGGUGCGGUCAUGACGGAGUCAUGACAUAGGGAUCGCACCGACCGACGCGCCGCCGAGCGGAUGCGAGGGGGCAAUACAUAU
rnacentral:sRNA from 1 species